CAGGGACGGAACACCGUCUGCUGAAGAUCGGGAUAGAGGUCGUGCCACUCGAUCAGCAUUUCCUCGACCUCGCGCUUGUUGCGCGCGUAGGGGAAAUCCGCAUUGCCGCGCAGCGGAUCGCUUUCACGCAGCGGCACCGGAUUAUCCGCGUGAUAGCCGUAGGCCGNNNNNNNNNGAGAUGCUCGACGCCGGCAUCGAGUGACGCUUGCAGCACGUUCUUGGUGCCGAGCACGUCGAUUUCCCAGUCGCGCUGCGGAUCGCCCCCGACAGCGACGACGGACGCGAGAUGCACGACGGUCUGCGGGCGGUGCGCCUGGAAAAUCUCCCUGA
rnacentral:misc_RNA from 1 species